rnacentral:rRNA from 1 species
AUGUCGGAGGAGUCUGUCCAGGCGGUCCUAAACCACAAGAGGGUGCCUUUCGUCCUUGGGGACUACUUCAACGACCUUACCCCCGAGGAGCAGCAACUCACGCUUGAUGUGGCCGCCCAGCACGAGGAGGUCGAGGACAGGUACGCCAAGUACCAGGAAAGAGUCCGCAAGGAGCUGGAUGAGAAGGGAUUCGUCGCGCUCCCCGAUGACGUCGACAAGAGGAGGGCCGCGCUGAACGCCGCUAGCAGAGAGGCUUUCAGAGGAGUCCCCCAGGUCAAGUAG